rnacentral:rRNA from 1 species
AGUGAACGCUGGCGGUAGGCCUAACACAUGCAAGUCGAACGGCAGCACAGUAAGAGCUUGCUCUUACGGGUGGCGAGUGGCGGACGGGUGAGGAAUGCAUCGGAAUCUACUUUUUCGUGGGGGAUAACGUAGGGAAACUUACGCUAAUACCGCAUACGACCUACGGGUGAAAGCAGGGGAUCUUCGGACCUUGCGCGAUUGAAUGAGCCGAUGUCGGAUUAGCUAGUUGGCGGGGUAAAGGCCCACCAAGGCGACGAUCCGUAGCUGGUCUGAGAGGAUGAUCAGCCACAGUGGAACUGAGACACGGUCCAGACUCCUACGGGGGGCAGCAGUGGGGAAUAGUGGACAAUGGGCGCAGCCUGAUCCAGCCAUACGGCGUGGGUGAAGAAGGCCUUCGGGUUGUAAAGCCCUUUUGUUGGGAAAGAAAAGCAGCAGGUUAAUACCCCGCUGUUCUGACGGUACCCAAAGAAUAAGCACCGGCUAACUUCGU